AAUGAAUUGCCUGAUAAAAGGAUUACUUUGAUAGAGUAAAUCAUAUAAUUAAAAAUUAUAUUCAUUA
rnacentral:tRNA from 1 species